rnacentral:rRNA from 1 species
UCAGACGAUGCGUCAUGCAUAUCAAUAAGCGGAGGAAAAGAAACUAACAAGGAUUCCCCUAGUAACGGCGAGUGAAGCGGGAAGAGCUCAAAUUUGAAAUCUUAAAGGGUUUCCCUUUACGAAUUGUAGUUUAAAGAAGGUGUUUUCUGUUGAGGUUUUGGUAAAAGUUCUUUGGAAUAGGACAUCAUAGAGGGUGAGAAUCCCGUAUUUGACCUUUACUUUCAACUUUGUGAUACACUUUCAAAGAGUCGGAUUGUUUGGGAAUGCAGUCCAAAAUGGGUGGUAAAUUUCAUCUAAAGCUAAAUAUUGGCGAGAGACCGAUAGCGAACAAGUACCGUGAGGGAAAGAUGAAAAGAACUUUGAAAAGAGAGUUAAACAGUACGUGAAAUUGUCAAAAGGGAAGCGUUUGACACCAGUGUUGUUUUUCUGAAAAUCAAUUAAAGAACUGUUUAUGCUAAGUUGUUUAGACUUUAUCAGCUAUCUGUUUAGUUUUGAGCUUUUCUUUAAUGCACUUUUCAGUUAACAAGUCAACAUCAAUUUCUUUUGCUGUAAAAAAGCUUGAGGAAGGUGGCUUGAGAUUCGUCUUAAGUGUUUAUAGCCUCUUGCCUAUGCAGUCGGAGAGAUUGAGGUCUGCAGCGUAGAUCCUUCGGGGCUAAAUGCAUUUGUGCUAAGUUAUAGCAUUUUAUAGACAACUUGUUGACUAUGAUUUGUCUUGUAGCUUACUCGCUUAUGUUAUUUUACCUACGCUUAGGAUGUUGAGCGCAUGUCUCUCUCU